AUGGUUUUUCCUAUGAUUCAAAUAAGAAUAAAAAACUACAAAAAGAAAAGUCUUCAAGCUUCAAAGUCUUCACAUCAAUUUCUUCAAAGACCAUACCAAUUUCAUUACCAAAUUCUUCACUUGAAGAAAUCAACUUUUAGGGGUCGUCUUCCAUGUGUUAAAACAAAUCUUCAGGGACUUUAUUAUCUGUGUAUACGCACAAACACAUUAAUUCCUCAACCUAUUUGUUUUCAAUACUCCAAAACCACUAAGGGGGCACUUGAUGCACUUACAACACCCCCUCGCCCACCCCCACCCCCCGCAAUUGUAACAGCCGAUGCAUCGUGA
rnacentral:rRNA from 1 species